rnacentral:piRNA from 1 species
UGGACAAUUACUUCUGGGGAGCCAAGUC